GUGGGGAAUAUUGGGCAAUGGACGCAAGUCUGACCCAGCAACGCCGCGUGAAGGAAGAAGGCUUUCGGGUUGUAAACUUCUUUUAAGGGGGAAGAGCAGAAGACGGUACCCCUUGAAUAAGCCACGGCUAACUACGUGCCAGCAGCCGCGGUAAUACGUAGGUGGCAAGCGUUGUCCGGAUUUACUGGGUGUAAAGGGCGUGCAGCCGGGCUGACAAGUCAGAUGUGAAAAUCCAGGGCUCAACUCUGGAAGUGCAUUUGAAACUAUUGGUCUUGAGUACCGGAGAGGUUAUCGGAAUUCCUUGUGUAGCGGUGAAAUGCGUAGAUAUAAGGAAGAACACCAGUGGCGAAGGCGGAUAACUGGACGGCAACUGACGGUGAGGCGCGAAAGCGUGGGGAGCAAACAGG
rnacentral:rRNA from 1 species